rfam:Triticum urartu cultivar G1812 contig1078179, whole genome shotgun sequence.
UGUGUACUCCCUCCGUUCCAAAAUACUUGACUUCCAUUUGUUAAAAAAUGGAUGUACCUAUAUACUAAGCAUGUCUAGAUACAUAUAUAUUUUGACAAAUAGAAGGCAUGUAGUGUUGUGCAACGGAGGGAGUAGAAU